rnacentral:tRNA from 1 species
CGGCGAGUAGCGCAGUUUGGUGGCGCAAUACGUUCGGGACGUAUAGGUCGGAGGUUCAAAUCCUCUCUCGCCGA